rnacentral:rRNA from 1 species
UACGUAGGGUGCAAGCGUUAAUCGGAAUUACUGGGCGUGAAGCGUGCGCAGGCGGUUGUGCAAGACAGAUGUGAAAUCCCCGGGCUCAACCCGGGAACUGCGUCCGAUACUGGAAGGCUUGAAUCCGGGAGAGGGAUGCGGAAUUCCAGGUGUAGCGGUGAAAUGCGUAGAUAUCUGGAGGAACACCGGUGGCGAAGGCGGCAUCCUGGACCGGUAUUGACGCUGAGGCGCGAAAGCCAGGGGAGCAAACGGG